UAUAGCUGGUAAGGCACUGUGGGAAACCGUUGGGUCUGUCUCACCAGUGGAGAAGCUGAGGAGCACUGAUGCUGGUGGACAGCUCAGGCUUCUGCGGCUCGAGACGAGCCUGCACUCCGGGAUCUGUGCUGGCCUCCUCUCCUCACUGCAGCCCGGUAAUCUCACUGUUCUUUUCACCAGGGCUUCUCCAAAACUUGUGUGUGCAGCAGUGGGCUCGGCACUGGAGGAGGUUGUCGGAACUGCGUGAGUCUGUAUGGCCUAACAAUAGCGAACCAGUGAUACUGCAUUUUAAUCCUAAUGUGCAGAUUCCAGGCUCUUCUCACCUCCAACAGAGAACUGGAUGAAACAAGAAAAAAAAAAAAGCAGUGGCAAAAUUUAUUCAAGAAAGUAAGUGAAGAGUAGGGGAGAAACUGACUGCAGAGCAAGCUUGGGCCAAGUAAAGAGAAAAAGAGGAUGAAAGCAAAAAUAAAAGUACACGCUGCAUCUGGGAAAUGCAGCAUGAACUAUCACGGAAAGUUACCAUAGCAAGCUCUUCAUGGCAUCAGUGUGUUCUUUUAUGCCAUCCUAAUCUCCAGGAACCCACAAGAACUUCUGCAUCCAGGCCCUGAGAGGCAGUGCUGGGGCUCCUGUCUCAGGCUGGUGUCAGGUCUAGGCCGUCUUGUUGGAAACCUUGAGUUCUGCAAGAAGUCCUGUGCCUGUGUGUCCCGGAUCUUGUAGUUAACAGUUUACAUCCACUGCCCUGUCUAGCCUUGCCAUGCCCUAAUCUCCUGUCUCCGUUUGUCCUUUUAGCUGUAAAAGUUUGGUUUUUGUUUUUUGA
rnacentral:lncRNA from 1 species